rnacentral:rRNA from 1 species
AUUGAACGCUGGCGGCAUGCUUUACACAUGCAAGUCGAACGGUAACAGGGAGCUUGCUCCGCUGACGAGUGGCGAACGGGUGAGUAAUGCGUCGGAACGUGCCGAGUAGUGGGGGAUAACGCAUCGAAAGGUGUGCUAAUACCGCAUACGUACUGAGGUAGAAAGCGGGGGACCUUCGGGCCUCACGCUAUUCGAGCGGCCGACGUCUGAUUAGCUAGUAGGGGAGGUAAAGGCUCACCUAGGCGACGAUCAGUAGCGGGUCUGAGAGGAUGAUCCGCCACACUGGGACUGAGACACGGCCCAGACUCCUACGGGAGGCAGCAGUGGGGAAUUUUGGACAAUGGGCGAAAGCCUGAUCCAGCCAUGCCGCGUGUCUGAAGAAGGCCUUCGGGUUGUAAAGGACUUUUGUCGGGGAGGAAAUCCCCAGCGUUAAUACCGCUGGGGGAUGACAGUACCUGAAGAAUAAGCACCGGCUAACUACGUGCCAGCAGCCGCGGUAACAC